UACAGAGGGUGCAAGCGUUGUUCGGAAUCACUGGGCGUAAAGCGCACGUAGGCGGACUCUUAAGUCGGGGGGUGAAAUCCUGGAGCUUACAUCCACGAACUGCCUUCGAUACUGGGAGUCUUCGAGUUCGGGAGAGGUGAGUGGAACUGCGGGUGUAGAGGUGAAAAUUCGUAGAUAUUCGCAAGAACACCAGUGGCGAAGGCGGCUCACUGGCCCGUAACUGACGCUGAGGCACGAAAGCGUGGGGAGCAAACAGGGG
rnacentral:rRNA from 1 species